rnacentral:rRNA from 1 species
GAUGAACGCUAGCUACAGGCUUAACACAUGCAAGUCGCAGGGUAACAUGAGGAAAGCUUGCUUUCCUUGAUGACGACUGGCGCACGGGUGAGUAACGCGUAUCCAACCUUCCCAUAACUACGGGAUAACCCGUUGAAAGACGGCCUAAUACCGUAUGACAUCGUUUGCUGACAUCAAAUAACGAUUAAAGGUUUAGCGGUUAUGGAUGGGGAUGCGUCUGAUUAGCUUGUUGGCGGGGUAACGGCCCACCAAGGCGACGAUCAGUAGGGGUUCUGAGAGGAAGGUCCCCCACAUUGGAACUGAGACACGGUCCAAACUCCUACGGGAGGCAGCAGUGAGGAAUAUUGGUCAAUGGGCGAGAGCCUGAACCAGCCAAGUAGCGUGCAGGAUGACGGCCCUAUGGGUUGUAAACUGCUUUUAGGUGGGGAUAAAGUGCGUGACGUGUCAUGCAUUGCAGGUACCACAUGAAUAAGGACCGGCUAAUUCCGUG